rnacentral:rRNA from 1 species
GAGUUUGAUCCUGGCUCAGAACGAACGCUGGCGGCGUGCCUAACACAUGCAAGUCGAACGUGAUCCAGAGCUUGCUCUGGUGAAAGUGGCGCACGGGUGAGUAACGCGUGGAUAACCUACCCUGGUAUCCGGGAUAACAUUCCGAAAGGGGUGCUAAUACCGGAUAAGCCCACGGGCUCUUUGGAGCUUGCGGGAAAAGGUGGCCUCUAUUUAUAAGCUACUGUAUCAGGAUGGGUCCGCGUACCAUUAGCUAGUUGGCGGUGUAACGGACCACCAAGGCGACGAUGGUUAGCUGGUCUGAGAGGAUGAUCAGCCACACUGGAGCUGAGACACGGUCCAGACUCCUACGGGAGGCAGCAGUGGGGAAUUUUGCGCAAUGGGGGAAACCCUGACGCAGCAACGCCGCGUGAGUGAUGAAGGCCUUUGGGUCGUAAAGCUCUGUCAGAGGGGAAGAAAUGAUAUAGUGCUAAUACCACUUUAUCUUGACGGUACCCUCAAAGGAAGCACCGGCUAACUCCGUGCCAGCAGCCGCGGUAAUAC